CCACGGAAGUUCGUCUGCAGUAGAUGGUGAGGCUUAUCAUAAGUUUGCAGAGUUUUUUUUAAAAAAAUGAUUGAAUUGUUUAAUUGUAGUGAGUCGUCAAGUUUGCUUUUGUUUCUCAAUUGCUUUACUUAUGUUACUCACGUGUGACGUGGUUGAAAAAAGUGGUCUAAGUCAAAUCAAGGAAACGUUGGAACAGCACACGUGUUCAGAUAAGAUUGAUGCAAGAAGGAGGUGAGGCGAUUGUUUUGAUUUUUCAAUCUCCUUGCUAGAAAAGAAUUUGGCUACGAGAAGACUUGUUCUGCGUGGUCAAGGUCACCCCACGAAUAGCUCCAAUGCCAACAGCAGCAGUCCUAAGCUUUUCAUGUACAAUGUGACUGUCGAAGUUACCUCUGCUCUUGAAGAAUCAAGUGAUUAAGAACAAGUACUUAAUGAAGUAAACUUUAACAUUCAGUGACAGCAAGUCAACAACACCUACCGCGUACUGCCAGACACAAUAUUUGUCUGAAAUUUGAAGAAUUCCAAUAUCCAUUCUACAUGGAUUGAUGUGGAUUGUGAUGGGACAACAAACUACCAGUGCAAAGAAAAGCCAGUGAGAAGAAUAUCAAAAUUGAUGAAAAAAAGUGUGGAAUCGUCAAAUGACAAUCCAGUUUUUGCAUGUGUUCAAGGUUCAACAGAGAAAAAUGUUUAAAUUGCUUUAGAAUCUUUGGGUCACUACCGAGAUGGGCGUGAAUGCUGGUUCAAACGCAUCUAUGUAAAAAAAAACUGCACUUUGGUGAUGAACUCUUGUCAUGGACAAAAGACACUACUCGAGCCCCCAUCAAAUGAACUGUUGGGGCCAAGAAGGAAUUUGAAAAGCCCCAUACAAUUGAGGAACGAUCAAAAGGCAAAACAAUUGCUGCUUGUAGCAGGCCCAUCCCCAUCAACGUUAACCUGCAGAAGGAAAGGCCAGUUUCCAUGUACAAUCGAAGGUCACGGAGAUCAUUACGUAAAGCGUGUAACAGUGGUUUAGAGGUUGGGUG